rnacentral:lncRNA from 1 species
AAUGACUCUGUAAACCUCAUUUUCUUUCUUUUCCUAUUUUUUUUUUUUUUUGAGACAGAGCCUCCCUCUGUUGCCCAGGCUGGAGUGCAGUGGCACGACCUUGGCUCACUGCUACCUCCAUCUCCCGGAUUCAAGUGGUUCUCCUGCCUUAGCCUCCCAGGUAGCUGGGAUUACAGGCACCUGCUACCGUGUCUGGCCAAUUUUUGUAUUUUUAGUAGAGAUGGGGUUUCACCACGUUUUUCAGGCUGGUCUCCAAUGCCUGACCUCAGGUGAUCCGCCCACCGCAGCCUCCCAAAGUACUGGGAUUACAGGUGUGAGCCACCAUGCCUGGCCUGUAAAACUCACUUUCAAUACCAGGGAUAAGAGGAGGGGCUAAGUGAAGAAGAAAUUACUUGAAAAGCCUAAGAAAACCAGAUCUAUGCUUACUGCAAAACUUAAUUCUGAAAAUGUUUUAGUAAUUAAAUCUGGCUGUUCAGUUGAGAGAAGAAUAUGAAACGAUGAGGAGUCUCUGAAUUUGGAAUCUACACAGAAUGGUGGAUUUAGAAGCAUAAUAGAAAUCAGUGCAUCUUAUUAGCUGCCUUGGUUCUUUGAUUGUUUUCUUCGGGUUCCAAGAAUUUUUAGGAUCUGAAAAUCAAGACAAACCAAAACAGAGAGAGAUAAAUCUGUGCAGAAAACAUCAAAUCUAUGGCCAUUUGAGACAUACAGGAUGCAUCACCCGACUCUUAGGCUGCAUCCCUUCAGCUGAGUUAGUGACACCCAUAGCAAAGGCAAUGAAAUGCUGUGCUCACAGACAAAGCAGGCUGCCCAUAUGCAUCCCAGCCACACAGAAGCCAGCUCCAAGCCAAAAGCCCUGAUGGCGUAUUUUAUGGUUCCCCAUUUGGUGGCGGGACACAUAACAAUAUCAUACCUUCUGUAAUUAAAGUCAGCACUCAGGCCAGCAGAGUACUGCACACCAGAGGGGCACCAGCUCAUACUGGGGAUGACAUCAAAGACAGAAACAGAAAUGCAGGGAGAAAAGAGGAAACAGGAAUGGGGUUAUUAGGUUUAAAAACGAAGGGCAUAGUUAGAGACAGACGGAUUUAUGCGAUCAACAAAAAAUUUAGGAAUGUAACACUGACAAUUUUUAAAAAGGCUAUAAUAAAAAAUCAUAGAAACUUAAAAAUAUUUUCUUCUUGUCUAGACAGCAUUGUGGAAAAAGACUGUGGGUUCUUUACAGUAUCACCAGUUCAACCUGAAACCCAAAAAUUCCUUCUAGUGAACUGUGGCAACUACCUAUGGCUUGCUCUUCAGACAUGAGAGGUAUUUCAAACUCCACCACUGGGUACAAUCUCUCAGUACAUCGCAUACUCCCACAUCACCCUUACCAUAGUAUCUCUAAUCCUAGACUUUUUAAAAGAGACAGUGACAAACUGUGCUCUGGUGGGCUCAUGGAGUCAUCCGGUUUUUUUUUUUUUUUUUCAUGUGUUUCCAUUACGGAUCCAACCAAACCAGACAUUAAUAGAUUCUGCAUGAUAAGAUACUUAGUCAACACUGGCAUCCAUCUUCAAACCCUACUCACUAGGCUGUUACGUUAAAGAUAAAGCAUAUAACACUGAUUAUAUAUUUGCUUAUGUUUUAAUGAUAAUGAAAACUACCCCCCAAGACGGAGUUUCACUCUUGUUGCCCAGGCUAGAGAGUAAUGGUGCGAUCCUGGCUCACCGCAACCUCUGUCUCCCAGGUUCAAGCGAUUCUCCUGCCUCAGCCUCCCGAGUAGCUGGGAUUACAGGUGUGCACCACCACACCCAGCUAAUUUUGUAUUUUUUUUAGUAGAGAUGGGCUUUCACCAUGUUGGUCAGGCUGGUCUCAAACUCCUGACCUCAAGUGAUCCACCCGCCUCAGCCUCCCAAAGUGCUGGGAUUAUAGGCUUGAGCCACCGCACCUGGCUGAUAAUAAAAAUUUAAAAAAAAGGAAUUCUAUGGCACUGAGUUAGAAAUGUAUCUUUUUAAUUUCAAGUUUGUUUCCAUUUUUCCUACAAGAUAAAAAAAAUCCAUCUGAUCAUCUACUUCCUUGAAUAUCCCAGUAGCGGUGUCCAUUAUCAAGUAGCAAGGACAGAAAAUCUGGGGUUGGAAAUGCUAAGUAAACACCACUAGCUAAAACAAUAAUCAAUUCAAAAUAUUGUGUGUUCUAUAAAGGAAACUGCAUGGAAAUGUUGGGAUUUUUAUUAACAAAAGCUAUCAUUAAAAAAAUACCCUGCUACCUGGGCCAUAAAGUUCUAGGUGAUGUGUUUUUGUUUUCUGAGAAGAGAUAAAAGCAGAGCUUGUGGACAAUAAAAACACUCGGCUCAAUAAAACCACUCGGCUCCCUCCAGAAUCUUGCAGAUGGGAAGGCCUGGCACCAAAAACACCUAUACUGGACACAUCUAAUAACUUUGUUUUGUUGUCAAGUGGGGUUUUUGGCUGGAGAAAGGAGACAAGGAAAAUGGGUGGGAGGAUGUAAGAGCUACCCCUAUGGCUCUUUUAAAAAAUCUUUACCAUAUCAUUUAAAACUAAAUAGUAUAAAACAUUUUAAAUCAGAUUAAAUUAGUGGUAUAAAGCUUACAAGUGCAGAAGCAGAAAGUAAAAAUAU